GUGGAAAAAUUCCUUCCCCUCCCCCUCAAAGGCCUCAUUGACUUAAGACCUGAAUUCUAAUUUAAGUCAAUGGAAAGGCUGAUUGAUUUCAGUUUUGUUGGAUCAGCUCUCAGAUGAUACCAGAGUGCGUAGCAAAAUAGUGCUUAUAAUGUCAAUAAUAAUUUCAGAAUAAAAUUUAGGAAUGUGUGAGUACUUUGAUUGCUCUCCUAUUUCAGUUCAUUUAUAAUUUCAUUCUUCCUCAUUAAAUGGCAACUAUCGCCAGUGAUCAAAUUAUCCCAUUAUCCCAUUGCCUAAAAUAAACAAAUUUAAGCACAAUAAAGGAUGAGAUUUUUUAAAACAAAUAGUUUUGUUACUGAGGUGUUUACCAAAUUACCCAACAGGUGAAUUAAGAAGACACCAUAAAUAGGUGGAAGGCAUAUCUAUGUAAGUGCUAGUCAUUAUUAUUGCUUGAUGUUCAUGGCAUUUUAGAGUAGUGAUAAAAAAAGAUUUUUGACAUGAAGAUCUUACAGUUUAAAAAGCCUGAUCCUGGAAAUGCUUACUUCCACAGGACUACUCAUGGUAUUAAGCACCAUGCCUGAUAAGUGUUUUCAGAAUCCAAGCCCCUAAAUUAAGACAGAAGUGGAGAUGACAACAUGAUUAUGCAUUCACUGGAGAAGCUAUUCCAUGUGGUUUGAAUCCAAUCCAAUCCCUGUGAAAGUCAACGGAAAGACUCCUAUCGAUGUUAUUCUUAGCUAUCCAGACAGUUUUGACUAGCUGCUUCCAGGGAAGAGAGAGAAAUCCAAAUGACCCAAGUGAAGGUUUCUCUGUGGAGGUUCACAUCCUUCUUGCAAAUCACUUUAAAAUGGCUUUCUACUUUCUGGCUUUCUAAAGUCAUCUUCAGAAAGCUGCAUUAAAGAAGACCUCAGGACCUGGUUUGCUUUCC
rnacentral:lncRNA from 1 species